rnacentral:rRNA from 1 species
UACGUAGGUGGCAAGCGUUGUCCGGAUUUACUGGGCGUAAAGGGCGUGCAGGCGGUUUGUUAAGUGCAGGGUGAAAGCUCCCGGCUCAACUGGGAGAGGUCCUUGCAUACUGGCGAACUCGAGGGAGGCAGAGGAAAGUGGAAUUCCCGGUGUAGUGGUGAUAUGCGUAGAUAUCGGGAGGAACACCUGUGGCGAAGGCGACUCUUUGGCCUGUAACUGACGCUGAGGCGCGAAAGCGUGGGGAGCAAACAGG